GGAUGAAGAACGCAGCGAAAUGCGAUAAGUAAUGUGGAUUGCAGAAUUCAGUGAAUCAUCGAAUCUUUGAACGCACAUUGCGCCCCUUGGUAUUCCGAGGGGCAUGCCUGUUCGAGCGUCAUUAUAACCCCUCAAGCUCAGCUUGGUGUUGGGGCCUGCUGCACUGGCAGCCCUUAAAAUCAGUGGCGGCGCCAUCUGGCUCUAAGCGUAGUAAUUCUUCUCGCUAUGGAGUCCUGGUGGAUGCUUGCCAUCAACCCCCAAUUUUUCUAUGGUUGACCUCGGAUCAGGUAGGGAUACCCGCUGAACUUAAGCACAUCAAUAAGCGGAGGA
rnacentral:misc_RNA from 1 species